rnacentral:rRNA from 1 species
CCCUUAGAUGUCCUGGGCUGCACGCGCGCUACACUGAUGCGUCCAAUAAGCACCUAACCUAAUCCGAAGGGACCGGGUAACCUUAGCAAAGCGCAUCGUGAUGGGGAUAGAUUAUUGCAAUUAUUAGUCUUGAACGAGGAAUUCCUAGUAAGCGCAAGUCAUCAGCUUGUGUUGAUUACGUCCCUGCCCUUUGUACACACCGCCCGUCGCUCCUACCGAUUGGAUGGUCCGGUGAAGCCUCGGGAUUGUGGUUCUUGCCGCUUUAUUGUGGCGUGACCGCGAGAACUUGUCUAAACCUUAUCAUCUAGAGGAAGGUGAAGUCGUAACA